rnacentral:rRNA from 1 species
UGAGGAAUAUUGCACAAUGGGCGAAAGCCUGAUGCAGCCAUGCCGCGUGAAUGAAGAAGGUUUUCGGACUGUAAAGUUCUUUCAGUGGUGAGAAUAGUGAUGUUAACCACAGAAGAAGUCCCGGCUAACUCCGUGCCAGCAGCCGCGGUAAUACGGAGGGGGCGAACGUUAUUCGGAUUUACUGGGCGUAAAGCGAUCGUAGGCGGAAUGUUAAGUUAGAUGUGAAAGCCCUGGGCUCAACCCGGGAACUGCAUUUAAAACUGGCAAUCUAGAGUAUUGGAGAGGAUGACGGAAUUCCAAGUGUAGAGGUGAAAUUCGUAGAUAUUUGGAGGAACAUCAGUGGCGAAGGC